AUUGAACGCUGGCGGCAGGCCUAACACAUGCAAGUCGAGCGGAUGAAGGGAGCUUGCUCCUGGAUUCAGCGGCGGACGGGUGAGUAAUGCCUAGGAAUCUGCCUGGUAGUGGGGGAUAACGUCCGGAAACGGGCGCUAAUACCGCAUACGUCCUGAGGGAGAAAGUGGGGGAUCUUCGGACCUCACGCUAUCAGAUGAGCCUAGGUCGGAUUAGCUAGUUGGUGGGGUAAAGGCCUACCAAGGCGACGAUCCGUAACUGGUCUGAGAGGAUGAUCAGUCACACUGGAACUGCGACACGGUCCAGACUCCUACGGGAGGCAGCAGUGGGGAAUAUUGGACAAUGGGCGAAAGCCUGAUCCAGCCAUGCCGCGUGUGUGAAGAAGGUCUCCGGACUGUAAAGCACUUUAAGUUGGGAGGAAGGGCAGUAAGUUAAUACCUUGCUGUUUUGACGUUACCAACAGAAUAAGCACCGGCUAACUUCGUG
rnacentral:rRNA from 1 species